AUACGUAGGGGGCGAGCGUUGUCCGGAAUUACUGGGCGUAAAGGGUGCGUAGGUGGCACUUUAAGUUGGAUGUGAAAUCCCCGUGCUUAACAUGGGAGCUGCAUCCAAUACUGGAGAGCUAGAGUGCAGGAGAGGUAAGCGGAAUUCCUAGUGUAGCGGUGAAAUGCGUAGAUAUUAGGAGGAACACCAGUGGCGAAGGCGGCUUACUGGACUGUAACUGACACUGAGGCACGAAAGCGUGGGGAGCAAACAGGAUUAGAUACCCUGGUAGUCCACGCUGUAAACGAUGAAUACUAGGUGUAGGGGGUAUCAACUCCCUCUGUGCCGCAGCAAACGCAAUAAGUAUUCCGCCUGGGGAGUACGGCCGCAAGGUUGAAACUCAAAUGAAUUGGCGGGG
rnacentral:rRNA from 1 species